rnacentral:rRNA from 1 species
UACGAAGGGGGCUAGCGUUGUUCGGAAUCACUGGGCGUAAAGCGCACGUAGGCGGAUUUGUUAGUCAGGGGUGAAAUCCCGGGGCCCAACCUCGGAACUGCCUUUGAUACUGCAAAUCUCGAGUCCGGAAGAGGUGAGUGGAAUUCCUAGUGUAGAGGUGAAAUUCGUAGAUAUUAGGAAGAACACCAGUGGCGAAGGCGGCUCACUGGUCCGGUACUGACGCUGAGGUGAGAAAGCGUGGGGAGCAAACAGG